rnacentral:rRNA from 1 species
GACGAACGCUGGCGGCGUGCUUAACACAUGCAAGUCGAACGAAGUGGCGAACGGGUGAGUAACGCGUAAUCAACCUGCCCUUCAGAGGGGGACAACAGUUGGAAACGACUGCUAAUACCGCAUACAGAAAGAGGGGAUUGCGUCUGAUUAGCUAGUUGGGGGGGUAACGGCCCACCAAGGCGAGGAUGAGUAGCCGGUUUGAGAGGAUGAACGACCACCUUGGGACUGAGGCACAGCGCGAACUCCGAAGGGAGGCAGCAGUGGGGAAUCUUUCGCCAUUGACGAAAGUCUGACGGAGGAACGCCGCGUGAGUGAUGACGGCCUUGGGGUUGUAAAGCUCUGUUAAGCGGGACGCGGUACCGGCAUAGAAAGCCACGGCUAACUACGUGCCAGCAGCCGCGGUAAUAC